CCAGAGGCUGAGGUCUCUUGUGCACAUAGUGUCCGAGUGCCUAAUUACUUCUCUUCCUGGGCUUACACGUCUUGUGUCCAGAAGCGUGCUGGCAAUGGGUUAUUUUCAUGUGCCUUGCAUUGGUUAUGCACAUAAAGCACAUGUCAGCAGGCAGGAACA